rnacentral:rRNA from 1 species
AUUGAACGCUGGCGGCAUGCCUUACACAUGCAAGUCGAACGGUAACAGCUCUUCGGAGGCUGACGAGUGGCGAACGGGUGAGUAAUACAUCGGAACGUGCCCGAUCGUGGGGGAUAACGGAGCGAAAGCUUUGCUAAUACCGCAUACGAUCUACGGAUGAAAGCAGGGGACCCUCGGGCCUUGCGCGAACGGAGCGGCCGAUGGCAGAUUAGGUAGUUGGUGGGAUAAAAGCUUACCAAGCCGACGAUCUGUAGCUGGUCUGAGAGGACGACCAGCCACACUGGGACUGAGACACGGCCCAGACUCCUACGGGAGGCAGCAGUGGGGAAUUUUGGACAAUGGGCGAAAGCCUGAUCCAGCAAUGCCGCGUGCAGGAUGAAGGCCUUCGGGUUGUAAACUGCUUUUGUACGGAACGAAAAGUCUCGGGAUAAUACCCUGGGACCAUGACGGUACCGUAAGAAUAAGCACCGGCUAA